CUUAAAUAGAAUUGACGGGACCCGCACAAGCGGUGGAUGAUGUGGUUAAUUCGAUGCAACGCGAAAACCUUACCACCUUUGACAUGUACGGAAGCCUUUAGAGAUAGAGGCGUGCUCGAAAGAGAGCCGUAACACAGGUGCUGCAUGGCUGUCGUCAGCUCGUGUCGUGAGAUGUUGGGUUAAGUCCCGCAACGAGCGCAACCCUUGUCAUUAGUUGCUACAUUCAGUUGGGCACUCUAAUGAGACUGCCGGUGACAAGCCGGAGGAAGGUGGGGAUGACGUCAAGUCCUCAUGGCCCUUAUAGGUGGGGCUACACACGUCAUACAAUGGCUGGUACAAAGGGUUGCCAACCCGCGAGGGGGAGCUAAUCCCAUAAAGCCAGUCGUAGUCCGGAUCGUAGUCUGCAACUCGACUACGUGAAGUCGGAAUCGCUAGUAAUCGUGGAUCAGAAUGUCACGGUGAAUACGUUCCCGGGUCUU
rnacentral:rRNA from 1 species